rnacentral:tRNA from 4 species
AGCGGGCUGGUGGAACGGUUACCACGCCUGGCCCAUAACCAGGAGGACCCGGUUCAAUUCCGGGGCCCGCAACCA